rnacentral:rRNA from 1 species
CCUACGGGUGGCAGCAGUCGAGAAUCAUUCACAAUGGGGGAAACCCUGAUGGUGCGACGCCGCGUGGGGGAAUGAAGGUCUUCGGAUUGUAAACCCCUGUCAUGUGGGAGCAAAUUAAAAAGAUAGUACCACAAGAGGAAGAGACGGCUAACUCUGUGCCAGCAGCCGCGGUAAUACAGAGGUCUCAAGCGUUGUUCGGAAUCACUGGGCGUAAAGCGUGCGUAGGCUGUUUCGUAAGUCGUGUGUGAAAGGCGCGGGCUCAACCCCGUCGAGCCGUUGAAACUGGCAGACUUGAGUUGGCGAGAAGUACGCGGAAUGCGCGGUGUAGCGGUGAAAUGCAUAGAUAUCGCGCAGAACUCCGAUUGCGAAGGCAGCGUACCGGCGCCAGACUGACGCUGAGGCACGAAAGCGUGGGGAUCGAACAGGAUUAGAUACCCCAGUAGUC